rnacentral:rRNA from 1 species
AGUGAACGCUGGCGGUAGGCCUAACACAUGCAAGUCGAACGGCAGCACAGUAAGAGCUUGCUCUUACGGGUGGCGAGUGGCGGACGGGUGAGGAAAUACAUCGGAAUCUACUUUUUCGUGGGGGAUAACGUAGGGAAACUUACGCUAAUACCGCAUACGACCUACGGGUGAAAGCAGGGGAUCUUCGGACCUCGCGCGAUUGAAUGAGCCGAUGUCGGAUUAGCUAGUUGGCGGGGUAAAGGCCCACCAAGGCGACGAUCCGUAGCUGGUCUGAGAGGAUGAUCAGCCACACUGGAACUGAGACACGGUCCAGACUCCUACGGGAGGCAGCAGUGGGGAAUAUUGGACAAUGGGCGCAAGCCUGAUCCAGCCAUACCGCGUGGGUGAAGAAGGCCUUCGGGUUGUAAAGCCCUUUUGUUGGGAAAGAAAAGCAGCAGGUUAAUACCCCGCUGUUCUGACGGUACCCAAAGAAUAAGCACCGGCUAACUUCGUG